GACGAACCGAGCGAACGUUGUUCGGAAUCACUGGGCUUAAAGGGCGCGUAGGCGGGCUGCCGAGUCCGGGGUGAAAGCCCCCCGCUCAACGGGGGAACGGCCUCGGAUACUGGCGGCCUGGAGGCGGGUAGGGGCGUGCGGAACUGUGGGUGGAGCGGUGAAAUGCGUUGAGAUCCACAGGAACUCCGGUGGCGAAGGCGGCACGCUGGACCCGAUCGUGACGCUGAGGCGCGAAAGCCAGGGGAGCGAACGGG
rnacentral:rRNA from 1 species